rnacentral:rRNA from 1 species
GACGAGGGGUCCUAGCGUUGUUCGGAAUCACUGGGCGUAAAGCGUAUGUAGGCGGCCUGUUAAGUCAGUUGUGAAAUCCCACGGCUCAACCGUGGAAUUGCAAUUGAAACUGGCGGGCUUGAGUGCAGGAGAGGUUGGUAGAAUACCUGGUGUAGUGGUGAAAUACGUAGAUAUCAGGAGGAACACCGGUGGCGAAGGCGGCUCUCUGGACGGAUACUGACGCUGAGGCGCGAAAGCGUGGGGAUCAAACAGG